rnacentral:lncRNA from 1 species
GUUCUAGACACAGGCAAUAAGGUAAGGUCAGAUCUCUGUGUCCUUGGAACUUAUUGCCAACUGUUUAUAGAAAGACUAAUAAUUUCUGAGUUGUACCUUGUAGUAACUAAACACAGACUUUUCCUGUGGGGUUGUGAGAAGGACAGAGACCUUCUACAUGAUUCUGUCUUCAAACUUCGUAUCAGCAUUUUUAUUCUUUUUAAAAAUGUGAUAGAUUCACCCAGUUCACUGAUUACCCACAAUACAUCUAUCUUUGUCUGACCUUUUGAAAUCUAAAACAUGCUAAUCCAUAUCUGUGAGUCACAGCAUCAUAUAGACAAGAGAAACACAUGAAAAACUCUCUUUGAAGCACAGUUAUUGUACAAUUUGAGUUAAAACUCUAGGAACUAAGUUAUGGGAAAUCAGGUCUUUCUGUGAGUGCUAAUGUGGAGAUCUAGUGAAGAAUCAGCAUACUUCUGGUUUUCCAUCAGUGUCCACAGUCUUCCAGAAUAACAUCACAGUUACCAAGAGAAAAUACAACCUAGAUACAUAUCACUAUGAAAACACAUAGUCAAAUCAAGAAUUUUAUUCCUCCUCUUUGAUAUUCUUUCCCACUUCAAAAACUUUGUCCAGUGGAUCGUUUUUGUAUUCCAAAGACAGAUUCCAGAGAGUCUGUACUUCUGAUUACAGUCUGUUUUCAUAUGAUCAAAGACAGGGAUAGAACUAGAGACAGCCAUCAUACCUGGAAACUGCAUGAUACUAGAAUGCACCAGAUCAACCACCCGAGCACCUUUGUUUGGAGUCCUUGGAAUUACGGCCCUUUGGGAAGGGCUCAAGAACUCUAGCUAAACUGAAAGAAGCUGGACACAGAAGGCAUCAUCCCAUUCAUAUGAAGUGUCCAGAACAGGUGAACCCAUAGAGAAAGAAAAGACUUGUGGUUUCUACAGGCUGCUAGGAGAGGGAAAUGGGGAAUGACUGCUUACUGAAUACAGGUGACGGGGUUUGGGGGUGAUUCAAAUGUCUGGAAUUACAUACUGAAAAUCCACUAGUACACUUAAAAUGUGUGUUUGUUUGUUUGACAUGGGGUGGUGCUGUGUUGCCCAGGCUGUCCUUGAGUUCCUGGGCCCAAGUGAUCCUCCUGCCUCAGCCCCCCAAGUAGCUGGGACCACUGUGCUUUCCACCAUACCCAGAGUGAGAUGAUAAACUUCAUGGUACAUGAAUGUCAUCUUAACUUUCUAAAAACCAUAUGCACGAAAAAGAACCACUAGCUAGAAAGAAUGCAGUUCUUCUGAGGAAGUCAUUUCUAUCGUCCUGCUGUUCCAGCCCCCAUUCUUUGGCAGCAAUUGCAUGUGAAGCAUGCUUGAUAUCAUGAUGGAAAGUCUGUUUCAAGCAGGAAUGAAGUUCUUGGGUACAAAAUAAUUUUGUUUCUUGCAAAUAACACCGAGGUUCCAGCUUCACAGAAGGAACCUCCUUUGGGCCAUUUUUUUCCCCAAUGUUGAGGGUGUGUUCUGAUGGUGCCCACAUCCAGCUUCUUUUUGCGGCUGUGAUCUAAAGGUUAAUCCCUUCCUUUGGUUGCAUUGUCCUAACAGGACCACUGGGGCUUGUUUUAGACACACUUUUCUUUGGUGAGGCUUUUCUAAAAUCUCUCUUAUCCUAGAUUAACAUCCUCUCAGGAGCAGGCCCCUCUGCUCAGCUAACUGAAAUAUUUUAUUUAUUCAUGAAGUCGUUUGUAGCAGUUAUCUUUUAAUCAAACAGUACCUUUGAAAUACCAUAGAAUUAAUCCUACUCAUGAUUUCUCCAUUUUACUUAAGUCAGA